rnacentral:rRNA from 1 species
GAUGAACGCUGGCGGCGUGCCUAAUACAUGCAAGUCGAGCGAACAGACGAGGAGCUUGCUCCUCUGACGUUAGCGGCGGACGGGUGAGUAACACGUGGAUAACCUACCUAUAAGACUGGGAUAACUUCGGGAAACCGGAGCUAAUACCGUAUAAUAUAUUGAACCGCAUGGUUCAAUAGUGAAAGACGGUUUUGCUGUCACUUAUAGAUGGAUCCGCGCCGCAUUAGCUAGUUGGUAAGGUAACGGCUUACCAAGGCAACGAUGCGUAGCCGACCUGAGAGAGUGAUCGGCCACACUGGAACUGAGACACGGUCCAGACUCCUAAGGGAGGCAGCAGUAGGGAAUCUUCCGCAAUGGGCGAAAGCUUGACGGAGCAACGCCGCGUGAGUGAUGAAGGUCUUCGGAUCGUAAAACUCUGUUAUUAGGGAAGAACAAAUGUGUAAGUAACUAUGCACGUCUUGACGGUACCUAAUCAGAAAGCCACGGCUAACUACGUG